AACGAACGCUGGCGGCAGGCUUAACACAUGCAAGUCGAGCGGAGAUGAGGUGCUUGCACCUUAUCUUAGCGGCGGACGGGUGAGUAAUGCUUAGGAAUCUGCCUAUUAGUGGGGGACAACAUUCCGAAAGGAAUGCUAAUACCGCAUACGUCCUACGGGAGAAAGCAGGGGAUCUUCGGACCUUGCGCUAAUAGAUGAGCCUAAGUCGGAUUAGCUAGUUGGUGGGGUAAAGGCCUACCAAGGCGACGAUCUGUAGCGGGUCUGAGAGGAUGAUCCGCCACACUGGGACUGAGACACGGCCCAGACUCCUACGGGAGGCAGCAGUGGGGAAUAUUGGACAAUGGGGGGAACCCUGAUCCAGCCAUGCCGCGUGUGUGAAGAAGGCCUUAUGGUUGUAAAGCACUUUAAGCGAGGAGGAGGCUACUGAGACUAAUACUCUUGGAUAGUGGACGUUACUCGCAGAAUAAGCACCGGCUAACUCUGUGCCAGCCGCCGCAGUAAAAC
rnacentral:rRNA from 1 species